GAGUUUGAUCGUGGCUCAGAUUGAACGCUGGCGGCAUGCCUUACACAUGCAAGUCGAACGGUAACAGGUCUUCGGAUGCUGACGAGUGGCGAACGGGUGAGUAAUACAUCGGAACGUGCCCGAUCGUGGGGGAUAACGAGGCGAAAGACUUUGCUAAUACCGCAUACGAUCUACGGAUGAAAGCGGGGGAGUCUUCGGACCUCGCGCGGACGGAGCGGCCGAUGGCAGAUUAGGUAGUUGGUGGGAUAAAAGCUUACCAAGCCGACGAUCUGUAGCUGGUCUGAGAGGAUGAUCAGCCACACUGGGACUGAGACACGGCCCAGACUCCUACGGGAGGCAGCAGUGGGAAUUUUGGACAAUGGGCGAAAGCCUGACCCGGCCAUGCCGCGUGCAGGAUGAAGGCCUUCGGUUGU
rnacentral:rRNA from 1 species